rnacentral:rRNA from 1 species
CCCUACGGGAGGCAGCAGUGGGGGAUAUUGGACAAUGGGGGGAACCCUGAUCCAGCGACGCCGCGUGAGUGAAGAAGUAUUUCGGUAUGUAAAGCUCUGUCAGCAGGGAAGAAAGAAAUGACGGUACCUGACCAAGAAGCCCCGGCUAACUACGUGCCAGCAGCCGCGGUAAUACGUAGGGGGCAAGCGUUAUCCGGAUUUACUGGGUGUAAAGGGAGCGUAGACGGCGUGCCAAGUCUGAUGUGAAAGGCCGGGGCUCAACCCCGGGACUGCAUUGGAAACUGGCAUGCUGGAGUGCCGGAGGG